CCUACGGGAGGCAGCAGUGGGGAAUUUUGGACAAUGGGGGAAACCCUGAUCCAGCCAUCCCGCGUGAGUGAAGAAGGCCUUCGGGUUGUAAAGCUCUUUCGAAAGUGAAGAAAACUUAUUUCGUAAUAUGUUAUAAGUAUGACGGUAACUUUAGAAGAAGCACCGGCUAACUACGUGCCAGCAGCCGCGGUAAUACGUAGGGCGCGAGCGUUAAUCGGAAUUACUGGGCGUAAAGCGUGCGCAGGCGGUUUUGUAAGUCAGAUGUGAAAUCCCCGAGCUUAACUUGGGAACUGCGUUUGAAACUACAAGACUAGAGUGUGUCAGAGGGGGGUAGAAUUCCACGUGUAGCAGUGAAAUGCGUAGAGAUGUGGAGGAAUACCAAUGGCGAAGGCAGCCCCCUGGGAUAACACUGACGCUCAUGCACGAAAGCGUGGGGAGCGAACAGGAUUAGAUACCCUGGUAGUCCACGCCCUAAACGAUGUCAACUAGUUGUUGGUGGAGUAAGAUCCAUGAGUAACGUAGCUAACGCGUGAAGUUGACCGCCUGGGGGGUACGGUCGCAAGAUUAAAACUCAAAGGAAUUGACGG
rnacentral:rRNA from 1 species